UCGGGAAUUUUGCGCAAUGGAGGAAACUCUGACGCAGUGACGCCGCGUAUAGGAAGAAGGUUUUCGGAUUGUAAACUAUUUUAGUCAGGGAAGAAAAAUGACAGUACCUGAAGAAUAAGCUCCGGCUAACUACGUGCCAGCAGCCGCGGUAAUACGUAGGGAGCAAGCGUUAUCCGGAUUUAUUGGGUGUAAAGGGUGCGUAGACGGGAAGACAAGUUGGUUGUGAAAGCCCUCGGCUCAACUGAGGAACUGCAACCAAAACUAUCAUUCUUGAGUGCGGGAGAGGAAAGUGGAAUUCCUAGUGUAGCGGUGAAAUGCGUAGAUAUUAGGAGGAACACCAGUGGCGAAGGCGACUUUCUGGACCGUAACUGACGUUGAGGCACGAAAGUGUGGGGAGCAA
rnacentral:rRNA from 1 species